UAGAGUUUGAUCCUGGCUCAGAUUGAACGCUGGCGGCAGGCUUAACACAUGCAAGUCGAGCGGGGGAGGUUGCUUCGGUAACUGACCUAGCGGCGGACGGGUGAGUAAUACUUAGGAAUCUGCCUAUUAAUGGGGGACAACAUCUCGAAAGGGAUGCUAAUACCGCAUACGCCCUACGGGGGAAAGCAGGGGAUCACUUGUGACCUUGCGUUAAUAGAUGAGCCUAAGUCGGAUUAGCUAGUUGGUGGGGUAAAGGCCUACCAAGGCGACGAUCUGUAGCGGGUCUGAGAGGAUGAUCCGCCACACUGGGACUGAGACACGGCCCAGACUCCUACGGGAGGCAGCAGUGGGGAAUAUUGGACAAUGGGGGGAACCCUGAUCCAGCCAUGCCGCGUGUGUGAAGAAGGCCUUAUGGUUGUAAAGCACUUUAAGCGAGGAGGAGGCUCUUUUGGUUAAUACCCAAGAUGAGUGGACGUUACUCGCAGAAUAAGCACCGGCUAACUCUGUGCCAGCAGCCGCGGUAAUA
rnacentral:rRNA from 1 species